rnacentral:rRNA from 1 species
AGCCAUGCGAGUCGAAUGUAGCAAUACAUGGCGUACUGCUCAGUAACACGUGGAUAACCUACCCUUGAGACGGGGAUAAACCCGGGAAACUGGGUAUAAUACCCGAUAGAUCUCGACUGCUGGAAUGCAUCGAGCUUGAAAGCUCCGGCGCUCAAGGAUGGGUCUGCGGCCUAUCAGGUAGUAGUGGGUGUAGCGUACCUACUAGCCUACGACGGGUACGGGUUGUGAGAGCAAGAGCCCGGAGAUGGAUUCUGAGACACGAAUCCAGGCCCUACGGGGUGCAGCAGGCGCGAAAACUUUACAAUGCUGGAAACAGCGAUAAGGGGACCUCGAGUGCCAGGUUACAAAUCCGGCUGUCGUGAUGCCUAAAAAGCAUUGCAUAGCAAGGGCCGGGCAAGACCGGUGCCAGCCGCCGCGGUAACACCGGCGGCUCGAGUGGUAACCGUUAUUAUUGGGUCUAAAGGGUCUGUAGCCGGCCGGAUAAGUCUCUUGGGAAAUCUGGCAGCUUAACUGUCAGGCUUUCAGGAGAUACUGUCUGGCUCGAGGCCGGGAGAGGUGAGAGGUACUUCAGGGGUAGGGGUGAAAUCUUGUAAUCCUUGAAGGACCACCAGUGGCGAAGGCGUCUCACCAGAACGGACCUGACGGCAAGGGACGAAAGCUAGGGGCACGAACCGGAUUAGAUACCCGGGUAGUCCUAGCCGUAAACGAUACUCGCUAGGUGUCGGCCACGGUGCGACCGUUGUCGGUGCCGUAGGGAAGCCGUGAAGCGAGCCACCUGGGAAGUACGGCCGCAAGGCUGAAACUUAAAGGAAUUGGCGGGGGAGCACCACAACGGGUGGAGCUUGCGGUUUAAUUGGACUCAACGCCGGAAAG